rnacentral:rRNA from 1 species
AAUGAUUUAUUUAAUGGCCGCGGUAUUUUAACCGUGCAAAGGUAGCAUAAUCAUUAGCCUAUUAAUUGUAGGCUUGUAUGAAUGGUUGGACGAAAUAUUUACUGUCUCAUUUUGUUAAUUAUAAUUUAAUUUUUUAGUUAAAAAGCUUAAAUUUUAUUAUAGGACGAGAAGACCCUAUAGAUCUUUAUAUUUUUAUAAAUUAUUUAAUUUUGUUGUUUUUUUGUUUGAUUUAUUUUAAUGUUUUGUUGGGGUGACAUGGAGAUAAUUAUAACUCUUUAUUUUUUUAUUCAUUGAUUUAUGUUUAUUUGACCUUUUAUUAUUGUUAUAAGAUUUAGAUACCUUAGGGAUAACAGCGUUAUUUUUCUUGAGAGUUCAUAUCGACAGGGAAGAUUGCGACCUCGAUGUUGGAUUAAGAUUAUUGUCAGGUGUAGUGGCUUGAUUAUUAGGUCUGUUCGACCUUUAAAUUCUUACAUGAUCUGAGUU